GCUCCUUUAGCUCAGUUGGUCAGAGCAACAGACUCAUAAUCUGAAGGUCAUAGGUUCAAGUCCUGUAGGGAGCA
rnacentral:tRNA from 1 species